rnacentral:tRNA from 2 species
GGGGGUAUAACUCAGCGGGAGAGUGUCACGCUGGCAGCGUGAAAGUCAGGGGUUCAAAUCCCCUUACCUCCACCA